rnacentral:rRNA from 1 species
UACGGGGGGGCAAGGCGUUGUUCGGAAUUACUGGGCGUAAAGGGCUCGUAGGUGGCCAACUAAGUCGGACGUGAAAUCCCUCAGCUUAACUGGGGAACUGCGUCCGAUACUGGAUGGCUUGAGUUUGGGAGAGGGAUGCGGAAUUCCAGGUGUAGCGGUGAAAUGCGUAGAUAUCUGGAGGAACACCGGUGGCGAAGGCGGCAUCCUGGACCAACACUGACACUGAGGAGCGAAAGCCAGGGGAGCAAACGGG